CGGCGGCGGUCACUGAGCUAACCUCCAAAACUUCAGCCCGGCCUCGUGCCGGGCUUUUUUCUUGCUUGCC
rnacentral:sRNA from 1 species